GACGAACGCUGGCGGCGUGCUUAACACAUGCAAGUCGAACGGAAAGGCCCUGCUUUUGUGGGGUGCUCGAGUGGCGAACGGGUGAGUAACACGUGAGUAACCUGCCCUUGACUUUGGGAUAACUUCAGGAAACUGGGGCUAAUACCGGAUAGGAGCUCCUGCUGCAUGGUGUGGGUUGGAAAGUUUCGGCGGUUGGGGAUGGACUCGCGGCUUAUCAGCUUGUUGGUGGGGUAGUGGCUUACCAAGGCUUUGACGGGUAGCCGGCCUGAGAGGGUGACCGGCCACAUUGGGACUGUGAUACGGCCCAGACUCCUACGGGAGGCAGCAGUGGGGAAUAUUGCACAAUGGGCGGAAGCCUGAUGCAGUAACGCCGCGUGCGGGAUGACGGCCUUCGGGUUGUAAACCGCUUUCGCCUGUGACGAAGCGUGAGUGACGGUAAUGGGUAAAGAAGCACCGGCUAACUACGUG
rnacentral:rRNA from 1 species